rnacentral:tRNA from 1 species
CGCGGGGUGGAGCAGUUGGCAGCUCGUCGGGCUCAUAACCCGAAGGUCAUAGGUUCAAAUCCUAUCCCCGCAACCA